rnacentral:lncRNA from 1 species
UUUUUUGAAACAGGGUUCCAUGGAGCCCAGGCUGGCCUCAUUGUAGCUGAGGAUAUCCUGCACUUCUGAUCUUCCUGUCUGUAUUUCUUCUCAUGGUAUUAUAGGCAGGCAUAACAGAGCCUGGGUUUAUGUAAUGCUAAGGACAGAACCAGGGCACCUUGACACGUGAGCCGCAGACCUGGCCCCUCAAGUUAGCCCUUUCUUUGGUAGUUUUUGUUCUUUAAAGGAUUUGUCCAUUUAACCUAAAUUAUGCCAGCUCUUUUCCUGUUGCCUUAUCUGUAGUAUUGCUAGAAAUGCUACCUAAUUUUGUUGUUGAUAUUGCUAAUUCCUGUCCUGAGUAGGAGUCUAGAACCAUGCCACCAAGCCCAGCAUUUAAAAACGAGAUUUAUUUCACUUUAGUGUAUGUGUGCUUGUGUGUGUGUGUGUGCAUGUGUGUAUGUGUGUGAGUUCAUGUGUGCCAUGUGUGCCCAUGUGCACACAUGUGUAUGUUGGUUUGCACACAUGAGUGUGUGUGCAUGUGCAUUUGUGUGUGCAUGUUUGUACAUGUAUAUGCAUGUGUGUGCCCAUGUGUAUGCAUGUGUGUGAGCACAUGCAUGUGUAUGUGUGCACAUGUAUGCAUGUGUGUAUGCAUGUGUGUGUGUGUGUACACAGAUGCAACUACAUACUGAGAGCAGAGGUCAACUGAUGCUUCAUAUGGUUUGUUCAUUUUUCGUUGCUUUCAACUAAGAGGAAGAGC